rnacentral:rRNA from 1 species
CCUACGGGAGGCAGCAGUGGGGAAUAUUGCACAAUGGGGGAAACCCUGAUGCAGCGACGCCGCGUGAGUGAAGAAGUAAUUCGUUAUGUAAAGCUCUAUCAGCAGGGAAGAAAAUGACGGUACCUGAGUAAGAAUCCCCGGCUAACUACGUUCCAGCAGCCGCGGUCAUACGUAGGGGGCAAACGUUAUCCGGAUUUACUGGGUGUAAAGGGAGCGUAGACGGCAGUGCAGGUCUGGAGUGAAAGGCGGGGGCUCAACCCCAGGACUGCUCUGGAAACUGUACGGCUGGAGUGCAGGAGAGGUAAGUGGAAUUCCUAGUGUAGCGGUGAAAUGCGUAGAUAUUAGGAGGAACACCAGUGGCGAAGGCGGCUUACUGGACUGUAACUGACGUUGAGGCUCGAAAGCGUGGGGAGCAAACAGGAUUAGAUACCCGAGUAGUC